rnacentral:rRNA from 1 species
GGGUCAGUAGGUUGGUCGUGCCACCGGUACGUACUGGUCUCACUGAUUCCUCCUUCCUGAAGAACCGUAAUGCCAUUAAUUUGGUGUUGCGGGGAAUUAGGACUGUUACUUUGAAAAAAUUAGAGUGUUUAAAGCAAGCUAACGCUUGAAUACAUUAGCAUGGAAUAAUGAAAUAGGACGAUCGAUCCUAUUUUGUUGGUUUCUAGGAUUGACGUA